rnacentral:rRNA from 1 species
GACGAACGCUGGCGGCGUGCUUAACACAUGCAAGUCGAACGGAAAGGCCCUGCUUUUGUGGGGUGCUCGAGUGGCGAACGGGUGAGUAACACGUGAGUAACCUGCCCUUGACUUUGGGAUAACUUCAGGAAACUGGGGCUAAUACCGGAUAGGAGCUCCUGCUGCAUGGUGGGGGUUGGAAAGUUUCGGCGGUUGGGGAUGGACUCGCGGCUUAUCAGCUUGUUGGUGGGGUAGUGGCUUACCAAGGCUUUGACGGGUAGCCGGCCUGAGAGGGUGACCGGCCACAUGGGGACUGAGAGACGGCCCAGACGCCUACGGGAGGCAGCAGUGGGGAAUAUUGCACAAUGGGCGGAAGCCUGAUGCAGCAACGCCGCGUGCGGGAUGACGGCCUUCGGGUUGUAAACCGCUUUCGCCUGUGACGAAGCGUGAGUGACGGUAAUGGGUAAAGAAGCACCGGCUAACUACGUG